rnacentral:lncRNA from 1 species
UCCGCCAUCCUAUUCUUCUCCUCCUGGUAUUGGUUCCGCAACUCCAUACACUCCUGCUUGGUAAGCUCCAUCAGAAUCUUUGCCAACUUGUUCUCCUUGGCCCAUUCCGCUUGGGUCUCCUUGAAUUGGUGCUCUAAUCUUGAAUAUUUGAGAGCGUCCAUUACUGAAGCACGUUGUAAAUCCCCAAUCUUCUUCUUCUGAUCCUCAAUGAUCUUGUCCUUCUCCUC